UCUCCCCCACUUUUGUUUGAUUCGAUGUUGGAUUGUUGUCAAAAUAUUCAUUAAUUGGUAGCAAGCGGCACUAGACGUUUAGUAUCGAUGAUAAUGAUAAAAUAGGAGUAAAUUAGGGGCCACUAAUUUUUGGGGAUAAUCAUAAGUUGCAGCUUGUUUCGGUGUGGUGGAUCCAAACGAUUUAUCAUCUCAUCCGGCAGGGGUAUCUGAUGUUCAAGGUGUGUGUAGCUGAACCUCCUCUGUUCUCAGACCUCGUGGGGUAUUUUUAAUCUUUGGUGCUUGUUGUUCCAUGUUGGAUUUG